CCCCUGGUAGCUCAGUUGGUAGUAGCGCCUGUUUGAAAAACAGGAGGUCGUCGGUUCGAUUCCGACCUGGGGGG
rnacentral:tRNA from 1 species